rnacentral:lncRNA from 1 species
UCUCUUUUCACAUUGAUCUCUUCAGAAAUGUUUUCUUCUCCCUUUGUUUCUAGUAUUUUGGUAUUUCACUGGAAAGGUUUGCUUUUCCUCCUGUUUGUUCCUGAUUUCCCAGGAGCUUCUACUUGCUGAAUGAUAUCCUUGGACAAGGAGAGAGGAAGAUCUGUUCCCUAGCAUCAUGUCAAGGAAGGUGAAGCAUAAGUCACUGUUAUGGACCCAAUUUCAGGUUUUAGGUGUCUCUGUGGUAUUUUGCUGUACUUUGAAACGUGGUAUUCUCUGGGAAUAACUCCAUAUUUUUGGAAACUGUGCAUACGAUCCUCCCUCAAAAAUUACCUUCAGAUUUCCUGCUUUUCUGAAGUUGGACAUAUGUCUCUGUUAUAAAGAAAUGACGCUUGAAGAACAAUUCCUUUGAAAGUCACUGGGAAAAGAAAAGUUACCUUUCAGCAGCCUUUUGUAAGGUAUUGUUUAAAGCAAAUUCGAGUCACUGAA